GUAAUGAAAAGUGGGCCGAGCAUUGCGGCAGGCAGACGGUGACAUGAGCGGCCCGGGCCCUCUCCUCUCUGUUAGAUGGUGGGUCAGAUCAUGGUCACAGCUACUGCUGAUACUACAGGGAGUUCUCAUCUGCUGAGCUCCCUGCACAUGGGACUGAGCUCCACCGGCUUCUUACAGUACUGUGGCCAACAGUCUCCUCUUUACAGCACUGGGAUACAUAGCGAUGGGGCGCUUGUUGCCGCAUCGCUAUGGAAUCCAAAGCAGCUCCGUCGUUGUGAGCCGGCGGACGUCACUUCCGGCGUGACAUCAGCGUUGGGACCGGAAGUGGGGGGACAAACGCCGGGACACACGAUGGGAAGCGGCAAACGUGACCUGGGGACCUACAACUGAGGGGCUUGUGGAUCCUCACUUUGGGGGCUGGCCAAUAGAACUAGUGGUGGCACGGCCGACACUGCGGAGAUGCGGCGUUGGGGUGGUGAUGCUGGUGCUGGAGCCUCAAGACUGCGUCUCUUGGGUGGCCUUGUUGCCACACUAACCGAGCCCUGUGAUGGGCGCCUUAGUGUAGGUGGAUUUGCCGAAGAAGAACCUGUGUAAAUAAGAUAAUCAUUAACAUUUUGUGUUUCUAUGUGUUUGCAGAAUAUGUGUAUACAGUUAAAUCUUACCGGCAUUGCCACCAUCUGCAUCGCUUGGCAGUGUUGGCUGUGGUCUUGCUGUGCUGCUUCUCUGGCGUACUGUAGAAAUAUGAAGAAUGUCCUUAUGAACAUACUAUUUUGGUGAUAUUUUUUCCCAAAUUCCUCAUUGUGAUGUUAACAUAUGUGGUACCUGCUGAGAAUUAAACUAAACGAUGCUUAUGCUUUUCUGCCUGA